rnacentral:rRNA from 1 species
GACGAACGCUGGCGGCGUGCUUAACACAUGCAAGUCGAACGGAAAGGCCCUGCUUGCAGGGUACUCGAGUGGCGAACGGGUGAGUAACACGUGGGUGAUCUGCCCUGCACUUCGGGAUAAGCUUGUGAAACUGGGUCUAAUACCGGAUAGGAGCCAUCUUUAGUGUGGUGGUUGGAAAGUUUUUUCGGUGUAGGAUGAGCUCGCGGCCUAUCAGCUUGUUGGUGGGGUAAUGGCCUACCAAGGCGGCGACGGGUAGCCGGCCUGAGAGGGUGUACGGCCACAUUGGGACUGAGAUACGGCCCAGACUCCUACGGGAGGCAGCAGUGGGGAAUAUUGCACAAUGGGCGCAAGCCUGAUGCAGCGACGCCGCGUGGGGGAUGAAGGCCUUCGGGUUGUAAACUCCUUUCGCUAGGGACGAAGCUUUUUUGUGACGAUACCUAGAUAAGAAGCACCGGCUAACUACGUG